rnacentral:lncRNA from 1 species
GUAGAGUAUAAAUUAGUAGGCUUAGAUUUCUCACUCUCAAAUCCCUUUCACAGACUCACAAUUUCUCUCUGACAACCCUCUCUGAUUUUCUCUCUGUGAAUAGUUUAUAGACUUAGGAAAAAUAGAAAGGAUGAAGAAGACGUAAUAAAGUAACUGAGUCUUUAUGCGCAGAGUUGAGGUCAGUUACUCCAUACGUGGUUUAACUGUCCUCAACUCCUCUUAAGGCCUCAUUUGGCUAGCAACUAGAUUCACAACUCUUUAUUUUAAUAAAACCUUUUAUCAUAUAGUUUAAAUAAUGUCACACCCUUACACAAUACAUCAUAUAUCUUAUUUAAUUUAAUUUAAAUAAAAUAUAAUAGCUUCUCAUAAAUUCACAGUCAUAUAUUUAAUUUCCUCAUUAAUAAAUAAUGUCAAAUUAUUAACUCUCUAAUUAAUAAUUAAAUUAAUUAAAUAACAUCAAGCUUCGUUAAAUAUUUCAUUUAAUUCAAUAAACUCACAUAAUUACAUAUUUGAAUAAUAAUUAUUCUCUACAUUAAUUUAAUAAAUGUAACACAUAUAAUUAAAUUAAUCUACCAAAAUUGCAUCAAUUAAUUAUUUAAUCCAAUAAUUAAAUCAUCGAAAAAUAUUUAUUUAAUUCAAUAAAUAUUAAAAUUAAAUUACAAAUUCUCGUUCGUCACAGUUACUAUUCGUUCCGGUUUAUCAUUAUGCUUGCAUUAUAUUUAACUAGGUUAUCUCAACCUUCAUAUUACAUUCCUUAAGGUUUAACAAAGUUUAAACAAUGUUACAUUACCUUCCUUAAGUUAUGUUUACUUCAAUUUCUUUUCUUUGUACUUAGAAACCUUCAUUACUAUCUUUGUUCUGAGACUGGCACUGCGGCGCCAGCAUUAUACCUACAUCUCACGCUGCGGCGCGAGCUCUUAAUGUCAUUGUCCCGGACUUGGCGCUGCGACGCGAGUCCUUACUUAAUGGGCCGCGCUGCGGCGCCACACUCCAGAGGAUUUUGGUACUGUUCAUGGCGUUGCGGCGCCACAUAUUGAACUAAGUUUCGCGUUGCGGCGAACUCUUGCAAUAGGCUUGGUUACUGUUCCGCGCCGCGGCGCGGGUCUUUUUGCCUAGGGUUGGCGCCGCGGCGCCAACUCUGUGCACCAGAAAACAAAUUCAGUUUGUGAAUUUUGUGAACUUCCCGAACGUAUAACUUCUUCGUUAUAAGUCCGAAUUAGCUCAUUCAAAAGCCUACGGUUCACAAAUUACAUAAUCUACAUGAUCAUUCAAGAAUUUUAUCUAUUUGACUGAAAACGAUAAACGUUCGUGAACGUUCAACGCUCGUUUCUUCGUUCUAAGUCGGAAUCCGGUCAUUUUCGAGUCCGCAACUCUUAAAUGCCAAAUAUGACUUGUCUCUAUUGGAAAACAAUGGUUUCGUGAUCAAACACAAAAUUUGACUUCCAUUCCGAGAAUUUUACGUAUUCGACGUUUAUCGUCCAAUCGUGCAAUUUCCGGCAAUUCUUCAUUCUUAUGAUUUGUUCAACAUUACAAAUGAACUUCAUUCAUCAUGUGAACAUCUCAACAUACUUAAUACAACAACUUAUAUUCAUUGUUGUAUUUUAGACUUAUUCUUCAUGAGCUUAUAACUUGUCAUUUAUAAACUACUUAAGAUUUGAUUAUUCAUGACUUAUGACAAUUAAGNNNNN